rnacentral:rRNA from 1 species
GAUGAACGCUGGCGGCGUGCCUAAUACAUGCAAGUCGAGCGAACAGACGAGGAGCUUGCUCCUUCGACGUUAGCGGCGGACGGGUGAGUAACACGUAGGUAACCUACCUAUAAGACUGGGAUAACUUCGGGAAACCGGAGCUAAUACCGGAUAAUAUUUCGAACCGCAUGGUUCGAUAGUGAAAGAUGGCUUUGCUAUCACUUAUAGAUGGACCUGCGCCGUAUUAGCUAGUUGGUAAGGUAACGGCUUACCAAGGCAACGAUACGUAGCCGACCUGAGAGGGUGAUCGGCCACACUGGAACUGAGACACGGUCCAGACUCCUACGGGAGGCAGCAGUAGGGAAUCUUCCGCAAUGGGCGAAAGCCUGACGGGGCAACGCCGCGUGAGUGAUGAAGGUCUUCGGAUCGUAAAACUCUGUUAUUAGGGAAGAACAAACGUGUAAGUAACUGUGCACGUCUUGACGGUACCUAAUCAGAAAGCCACGGCUAACUACAUG